CACAUCUCUGUUAAGAAAGAAGCCAGACCCGAUAAGCAAGGCAAGAGGACCCAUGAAGAUGGCGACUCUCCUCUUUUAAAAGGGACAAGGAAGUUUACUGACAUCUGCUGGGAGAAAGACCAGAAGGCAGCCAGCAGGUGGAGGAGGGGUCGAGAGCCCAGCUGUGGAAGCAGAGAGCCUGUGUUUGGAUCCCAGCUCCACUCCUCACAGGUUGUGUGAUAUUAAGGAAGAGUCAAGACCUCUAACAGCCAUGGCCAGCCAGUCAACAAUUUGGUGCCUUUAAAGGACUUCUGCCAUAACCUGUGC